rnacentral:rRNA from 1 species
UAGCACAAGGGUGGGAUCGUUCAUCUGAUUUCUUGUGCGUCAAGAGCGCGUAGGCGGCUAAUUUAGCUCAAAUGAUAUAAUAUCCGAGCUUAACUUGGGAUGGCAUUCGAUACUGGUUAGCUAGAGUGUGGGAGAGGAGGCGUAGAAUACCUCAAGUAGCCGCUGCAAUGUGUAGAGAUCUGUAGCAAUAUCGAUCGUCGAGGGGAUCCAUCUGUCCUGACACUCACACUGAGGUGCGAAAGAGUGUGAGGUGCAAAACAAGAGAAGAUACCUUGGUAGUCGAUAUCCUAAAAGAUGUCUCCUAUUUGUGGGGGCCUCUGAGGCUUUAGUGGCGCCGCUAACACGAUAAAUACAACCCCUGUGUGAGUACGCGUCUCCAGACUAAAACUCAAAAUGUAUUAUCUGGGGCUCGCACAACCGCUGGAGCGUGUGUUUUUUAUAUGAUACUCCGCGCAGAGCCUCACCCCUCCUUGUCAUAGUGACAGCUUUCCAGAGAUGGAUUGGUGCCUCUUCGGAGUUACAUACAGAUGCUCCAUAGCUGUCGUCAGCUCGUGUCUUGAGAUGUUUGGUUUAGUUUCGCAACGAGAACACCCCCUUUCCUUAUUUGCCAGCGAGUAAUAUCCGGGACCUUAAUGAUACAUCCACUGACAAACUGCAGGAAGGCGGGGAGGGGGUCAAGUCAUAGUCCCACUUUCGCCGAGGGCCACACACGUGCUACAAUAGAUGGUACACAGGGUUGCUCUCUAGCGAUAGGACGCGCAACUCCAAAAAACGCUCAUAGUCCGGAUUGGAGUCCGCAACUCGCCUCCAUGAAGUCGUAAUAGCUAGUAAUCGCGGAUCAGAAUGCCGCGGUGAAUACGUUUUCGGGAGGCGGCACACACCCCUCACACCAUGGGAGUUUC